GCAGCUUCUACGUGUACUUCCUCUAAAAAGCUCAACCUCUGCCUUUUCUGUAGAGACACGGAAAAACCUGAUACUACAAUAGAAACCAUGCCUGCUGUUGAUGCUCAUCUCUGUCAUCAGAAUGGGAAUGGUCUCUAAUAUGACAGUCUUUGGACAAGUCAGUGCUUGGAGCUUAGUUAAAAUGCAAAGACAUCAACUUCCUGAGUAAUGCAAAUUAAAGUCCUGGGUGUGGAGAAGCUGUGAAGUGUCAUAAGAAAAUCACUUCCAACCAAGGUGCCACCUUCAAAAUUUGACUGUCAAGAGAAUGACUGACGUAAAACAGAUCCUCCUGUUUCUCACUAUCUGAUGGGACCCUGUGAAGAGCUUUCGUUGCUGCAAGGACUGUAAAUUUUGUGGCGGCGAUGCAGCAAGCAUGGGCGCUGUAAGAAGCAUCAUUUCAGAGGAUUGAUGAGCAAAGCAAGAAGAACAACCAGUCUGUUCCAUCCCUGGUGAAUUGUGAACAUUUCUUUCAAGGGACUGGCAUUACAGAAAUGUUUUUCCAGGAAGAACCACAGGAACUGAUGGAGUGGUUGUAUUCCAUGGCUUUGGGAAAGAGUGUUUUCAAUCUGAGUUUCCUGUAGCAGGUAACUUUUUCUGUGUGAACUAGCAUUUUAAUAAGGUAGGACACCCUCAUUCAAGGAUUUCCAUAUGAGAACUCUCUUUUUCUUAUUCACGCACAGGAAAAAUUUAAAGUGAGCUGCUGGUCAAGUGAAUAGACUUUUUAAACUUACAUUGUGCCCAUGCCCCCAGGGACAAAUGUAAAUGACCAGUUUCACUCUGUGUCUAUCAAAAUGCACUUAAUCACUGAAAAGAUUAGGCUCCAUGGCUUAGAAAUCUGUGGGUCAAAAAUGAUGUCAACUUAGCCCCCAGGGCCACCAUUAUUAUGUGUGGACUGUCUUCUGGAGGUGGGUAACCUACAGGUAGAGGCUCUGGAGACCUGUGCUAUACACUUCUAUGAAACAGAGGGUAUUCUAUUGCUCAGGAAAGAGUCCUGUGACUUAAUGAAACAGAAUAAUGGGCUUAUGUUAAUGGAUUAAAAUUCUUGUCACAAAAUCUCUAAGGGAAGCAGAGAUAGGAAAAUACUUUUAAAAAUAUUUCCUGGGAGAAAUUGAAGUUUACUUCAAAUAUAUUUUCCUACCAGUAUCACAAUAAAAUUUAUUUCAAAGUCUGUAACAGGCCCGUAACUGAAUGGAUCGCUACUGCCCUAUUACCUCGACUUAAAAAUAUAUAUAACAGUUUGUUCUAGAAAACUUCUUUGAGCUGGGUAUGGUAAGCAUGUCAUCCUGGCACUUUUGGAGGCUAGAGCAGGAUUUCAAAUUUGAGCCCUGCCUGGGUGACUUAGCUAGACCCUGUCUCAAUACACAAAUAUUUAAAAGGGAGCCGGAAAUGUUAUCCACCAGUAAGACCCUGGGUUCAAUCCCUGUACUGUAAAAACAAAUAAAUAACUUUCAUUGACACAUUAUAUAUUUGAAAAGAAAGAGAAGUAAUUCAUUAGAUUCAAUUAUGCGAGCUGGAUCCUCUGAGACAGCUGAUGGAAUUGGAAAAUGGGAAUGUGGACAGUCCGAAGGCUCGGAAUAAGACUCUCAGACUGAAUUAAUUCAACAAACCUUAUUGAGUGCUUCCAUGCGUAUUUAAAGCUAAUUCCAUCUGUGGGUUAUCUUGUGUAAUACUCAUCAGCUACAGUAGAAGAUGUCAGAUUUCUAUGGAAUCUAAAAGUCCUUUAAAAUAGUUUGAAGACAUUGAGUGAGAGGGAAGGUAACAGUGUACACUAUACACCUCCGGAGGGUAGUUUUCUUCCUUUCUAGAAACUACAAUGAAACUGACGAAGACAGAAGUAGGGAAGGGACACAGGUCAGGAGCAGGAGCAGGGUUUUGAGCCUUAGGGAGGGAGAAUUGCUUGAGAAGUGCGUCAGUCAACUUUGUUAAUACAUUCUAAAAGGACAAGUCUUAUCUCUUCUUUCUCCAUUCCCCUUCUACUUCCCCACCUUCUCCCACCACCACAUUUUGUCCCUUUUCUCCUUCUUAUAUAUUUUCACUGGAGGAUCUAUAAGAAACACAAAAUAACUCUGUAGUAGAAAAGCACUGAGAAUAAAAUUAGUCCAAAAUUAGAUAAGUUGCUGGCCAAAGUACACUCGUACACCAUACCGAGCUAUCUCCCAAACAUAACUAACCUCUUCUUAACUUUGCAAAGUUUUAAAAGAGACUAUUACACAUCAUAAAUUACGUCUAAUGUAAUUUCAGUCUCAGGCUGUGUGUGUCAACACCCUUUAAGGCACUUAAUCAUUUGUUAGCAUUUGACAUGUUUCUCUAAAAAUAAUCAACUAUAGCAUAUUAACCACACACAGAUAACCAUAUAUGGGUUCUUUGUGAAGUGAAGAACACAGCUCCCUGGCCUCGAGACAACGGAGUCUUGGCCAUUUUAUCCUUUUGUAUAACUCUGGAAAUAACCUUCAAUCUUGAACAGCUCACACUAGGUAAGCAAAGCAAAAAUCUAAAGCCUUUGAUAGAUAAAGCCUUACAAUAUUGAAGGGAACAUUACCUUGACAUUUUUAGAGGCUUGGAUUUAUGGAGGGACCAAGUGUCAGGACAAAGGCAAACACGAGAAGUACCACAAAGUCAACCUGGGGAAACUUUCAUUGCCCAGGGCCCUAUGUUUGCUCACCAUUUUGUCACAGGACUCUGUGGCUGGCAGGUAAAACAGUGCAUGGGGAGCAUGAAGUCUUGAACUGCUGUGUUAUUUGAAUUCUGCUCCUGAUCUGCUAUUUGGUUAUGACCAAUACCUGCAAGCAAAGGGGAUCAAGCUUCCCGUCUUUCAUUUGGCCAUUUGUAAAAAUACAAGUAGAAAGAGCCCACUGACCUCCUGUCUUCUGCGUAUUUCAUUGUAUACAAACAUCAGCCCACCAGUGGCUGUUGUAAGCACUAUGCUCAAUGGGUUUGGGACAUUUGUUUGAUCUGUUAAUUAGAGCUAAUAGUUGCACUCUUUAUUAACAUUUUAAAAUAUAGUAUUUAAAUGUUCUUAAUAGUGCUUCUUAAAUUUAGUUUGCAUUAACUAAAUCGCAAAGGUAUAUAAAUUCCAUUUUUGAAACAAAUUGCUUCUGCCAUUGUAUACCUUUGUCUAUCACUAAAAUAUCUCACUAUCAUAUCUAAGUUAUUUGACCAAUAAUGAGAAAAGUGUUAAUAAAUUUGUUGAUGAAAAUAGUAUUACUAAAUAGGGAAAUAUCAAACUCCCCUCCUUUUGAUACUUUUAUUUCUUGUAUUACUCUAUAUGUACCUAUUUCUAUUUGCUGAUUUGGAAAAUUAUAACUUUAAAAGUUAAAUUUGAUCGUGCUCCAUUAACUCUUAAUUUUAACUAUGAAACUAGUGAAUUGCACACAAAUUUGUUAAGUACCAGAGAUAAUCUAAAGAAAGAUAGUGAAAAGAAUAAAUUUGUUCAGAAAGAAAAUUCUGAUUGUGACAUAAGAACAAAAUGUCUGAUGACCUGCCAAGGUCAUGUCACUCAAAUCUCAUUUGUGGGUGCAGUGCUGCAACUCCACAUUUCAACAUGCUAGCAUUUUAAAAUCACAUGCAUUUCCAUCUUAAUGAGUUAAAUGUUAAAGAUCAGCACUUUUUUUUAAACUGUGAAAGCAGUUUCCUUGCCUCUUAUGGUGGCCUAUAAAGUCUUAAUGGUUAAACAAUCUGAAAGCACUCUAUUGGGCAAUCCAGCCAAUUUUUAGCUGACCACUGGACACCUGAUUACACUUGGAUCUUAAUCAAGCCAAUUAAGUAUCAAUACCUGCUAUGUCACUUUGUAAGAUUUUUUAAAAAUUCAAUUCUCUUACAUAUAAAGGAAGUUACAUUUGCAAACUAUAUUGACCCAAUUAUUCAUAGAAAUGUAGAAGACUUACAUUGUUAAAGUCCAGAAAUAUUUGCUCAGGAAAUUUUAAUUUCUUCACAACCCAUCUCUAAGUGUUUUCAAAUAUCAUCACUCAACCAGACCACGCCAAAUCAACGAACCACUUAACUAACAAUAUGAAAAACCCAUCACAAUAGCCAAAAUACACUUGGCUCUUUAGCUUUCUUCAUGGCUUUGACUUCUGCACUGCCACAGGUCAGUAUCUAGAUACAGACUUCAUGUCCACUACAUAUCUAGAUGACCCCCACAUUUUAGCACAUGUAAGAAAGAUACAGUAAAUAGCUUGCAAAUAAGAAGAGAUUCACUCUCACAGAUAUUUCAACCUUGGCAUUUGGUUUAGGUGGACAUACAGACCAUCUGGUGACUCAGAUACAUUAGAGGUAUAUAUUAAUGUAUAUAUAUUUAUUUGGAAAUGUUAUAUAAAGUAAUGAUUAGAACUAAGAGUAUGAUAAUCAGUUCAAAGUGUAAUGUAGCAAUAUGUAUCAAAUUUACAGAUGCAUAUAACCUUUGAUUUAGUAAUUCUAGCUUUUGGAAAUUUACCAUUUAGACAUAGCCCUACAUGGAUGCAAGGCGAUAUGUAUAAACAUGUUAUCUGAGGUCAUGUUUGUAAUGACAAUAGCUGAAAAACAAAAAAACAUUCAAAACAUAAAUUUCUACUUAUUCGAAUAUACAUGCAUUCCACUAGCAUUGUUUGCUUAUGAUGUGCGAGGCUUUGUGCCAGGUGGUACUGCGUAUCACUUACGUAUCUAUUUUAUAUGUGUCCAUGCCUAUAUCUAUGGCCAUAUAUAUUUGUAAAUAUCCACCCUGGAUGGUUGAAUGAAUCACUUCUCAUCUGGUUUCUGUUGUGCAAUGUGGACACCGCCUUACCUGCGCUCACGUGGAGGGUAAUAAAGCUUACUAUGCUCAGCAA